GUACAGUGAAGACCAGGGCGCAGGAAAAGGGGGCCUGACAGAUUAUCGAUGAUAGCGGCACAUUAUUAUCGACUCCAAGAACUCACUGGGGGGAAUGAGUCUUAUCUUUGAAAAGCUAAGAACAGAGAGAAGGGAGACAGAGCGAGAGAGGGAGAAGAUAAUGAGAAAAGCAGAGUGAGAGAGAGAGAGUUGAAGUUUAUACCGAGGGAGAGGGGCUGAGGGAGAUACGAGAUGUAAGAAGUCUUGGCAGACGGCUUAUCAUAUACGAGGAAGAGGAAGGAGGAUGAGAGCGGAGAUUUAAAAGGGAGUUGAACAAUUGUGCAGUGCGCCAAGAAAGUUGAUAUUUCUCAACAUUGGAUCACCUGUCUUCUUUUUUCAGCGUGAUGCUGGCUUAUGUCUAAAACCAACAUGGUGGAAAAAGAAUGCUGAACAUUAAUUUCCUCAUUAAAUAGUAUCUUUUGAAAAUAAAUAUGAUUUUUAGUUGAUUAAACGUGUGGAGAGCUUAUUCUGUGGCA